GCGUUGUCCGGAUUCAUUGGGCGUAAAGAGCUCGUAGGCGGUUUAGCAAGUCGGGUGUGAAAUCUUCAGGCUUAACCUGGAGCUGCCACUCGAGACUGCUAUGACUCGAGUCCGGUAGGGGAGUGUGGAAUUCCCGGUGUAGCGGUGAAAUGCGCAGAUAUCGGGAGGAACACCGGCGGCGAAGGCGGCACUCUGGGCCGGUACUGACGCUGAGGAGCGAAAGCGU
rnacentral:rRNA from 1 species